rnacentral:tRNA from 1 species
AAGAAAUUAGUUAAACCAUAACAUUAAUAUGUCAUGUUAAAAUUAUUAAAUAAAUUAAUAUUUCUUU